UACAGAGUCAAUGUGGAGGCUAUAUACAGGGGGUACCGGUACAGAGUCAAUGUGGAGGCUAUAUACAGGGGGUACUGGUACAGAGUCAAUGUGGAGGCUAUAUACAGGGGGUACUGGUACAGAGACAAUGUGGAGGCUAUAUACAAGGGGUACCGGUACAGAGUCAAUGUGGAGGCUAUAUACAGGGGGUACAGGUACAGAGUCAAUGUGGAGACUAUAUACAGGGGGUACAGGUACAGAGACAAUUUGGAGGCUAUAUACAGGGGGUACAGGUACAGAGACAAUGUGGAGGCUAUAUACAGGGGGUACCGGUACAGAGUCAAUGUGGAGGCUAUAUACAGGGGGUAC
ensembl:lncRNA